CUGGCAUUUAGGGUAGACAAUCACUGGAUUGUCUUCUGCGUUCGGUUUUGACAGCCAGGGUAGGAACUUGUAGCACGCAGCGAGGACAGGGACCAGCCAUUGGAGAUUUGAGCGAAUGUUUCGUCUUGGAUUCUGUUGAAGUGUAUACUUAACUGUUGGAACUGUGCUGGCAAUGACAGCCUUUGACACUCUGCAGAGCAGAAGACCCCAGUGUAGGAAUGGCAGUGCCUACUCUGAAAGUGAGAAGGUAAAAGUUUAUUUUUGUAUUUUCCCCCUUCCUCCUGUGCGCUGUCUCUCUCUCUCUCUCUCCCCCCCGCACACCCCACCCCACCCUGCCUCUCUCUAUAACAUGUAACAAGACCACCAAGAGUGGCCUUUUCGCCUGUACUAUGUACCAUUCUCAUUUAUGUUUUUUUCCCCUUUAAAAAAAAAGUUUGCCUGAGGUCAUCCACCUAGUUUCACCCUCCCCAAACAGGAAACGGGUUUCAGAUGUUUAUAUGUUAAAAAGCAAGACAGCUAAUCUGCCCAUUUAACAGGCAUUGGCAACUGGCAAAGAUUCCCCCCACUCCUCUUUGCUACAUUAUUAGCUUUCAGUUCAAGUUACAUGUUCUUUCAAUAAGAGUCCAAGAUCCAAAAUAUUGGAUAACCCACCAUUUCAUUUUGGAACUGAUUGGAGGGAGCCAAGAUCAGCUUGAAACUGAAGUAUUAAACUCAGAAUUCAGAUUUUCUGUUUUUGUUUUUUGUUUUGUUUCUUUAAACGCAGGAAAAAAAUAAACCCCACUCACGAAACUAUUCAGAUAAUAUGGCUUAUCUUAAGCAAACUUGCAUGUUUUGUUGAUGUACGUGAACUAGACAGUGCAUGCAGGAAAUGUAGGGAUAGACAAAUAUCUCAAUGUUGCUUAUAUGUUUUUCAUUUUUCCAUUCUUAAAUUCAGUUGUCCACAUUUCCACACCAGUUUUCAAAUUCUUUUCUUUUUUAAGUCCUCAUGAAAAUUCACUACCAUUUUAGCACUGAUUUCUCCUUAUAGACACAUUUUUCUAUGCAAUUUUACCUAAUGCACACAAUUUUGCAAAGCAUUUUUGCCUAAUAUAAGGCAUUUUUGUAUGUUCAUUUCAUAAAUAUAUGACUUUAAAUGCACACUUUGCCCCAUUAGGUGCAUUUUUGUAUGUAUUACUUGGGUGGAGAACUGCAUUGCAAAAUUCAGAGAUGUGAGACUGUUGAAGGAUAGCUGUGUUUUGGCUUGUGCAUUGCUUCAGAAAGUGCAAAAUAGGUUGCUUAUCCUUUAAAUGUGAAUUGAUUCGAAUUUCUUUCCUAAAGAAAUCACAAUCUUCCCUCCAAGUUUUCAUAAAUUAAGUGCAGCACAUGCUCACUGUAAAUUGAUAAGAUAAUUAGCGGUCAAUAAAUGUGUCCAUGUGCACACACACAUAUAUAUACAUAGUCUGCCUUGACAUUGCCUUUGAUGUGUAGCGAUGUCAAUUGUUUUAGUUUUAGGCAGAGAUCAUGCGAGCUUUUAUCCAACAUGGUCAUGGAGCUGCUCAAGGAAAACUGCAUAUGAAACAAACCCGAAGAAGGGACUUACAAAUUUGCAAGUCUAGCUAAGAAUAAAGAUAUACCCUUCUAACCUGGUGUUUGGUAAGGUGCUUUGAUUUAAAACUUGGCACCCCAAAACUUGACAGCCAAUCUUAACACGUUUCCCCCUUAAUAUAUAAGUUUGUUGAAUUUAUUUAUUUAUUUACUUACGGCGUCUGCCUCUCUAAUAAAAAGAAAAUUCCAUAUUUACCCCAGACAAAUUAAUAAUCCCCACUCUGGCAAAACAUUUGUUUGCCGAUCUAUUGCUAUUAUUUGUCGAGUGUGAUACUGAAAAUGCUGGACCACAAAGUAUGACCUAUUGUUUAGAUGUUAAACCAGGCUGUAAAAAGCAAUUUAAAUGUUCUUGCUAGGAUGAUUAAAUAUGACUGCAUAAAAGUGUUCAAACAGUACAAGAGGCGAAGCAGCUUUAGCAUUCUGGGACAUGCAGAUAAAGCAACGUACUUGUUAACCCUAAACACAUUUUUGCAGGACCAAACUGCCUGUGACAUUAUUCACACGUGUAACAUCAAAGCAUUUUAUUUUUGGAGAAAAAAUAGCUGCGAGGUCUCCCCAGUCUGGAAUGUGUUCCGGCUCUGGAUUGGAGGACUAUGCUGGUUUUCUUCAGAAAAUUCCUCUCUUUCCUGGCUGCCUCCCUGCAAGUACAAAAAUAGGCCAAGUAGAGGGAAAUUCUCUUCAAAAAAACUAAAGUAAGACCCCACUCUUGACCAGGAGCUCAUUCUGGAUCAGGUUGAGCAUGCCUGUAAAUACACAGAUGUGUUCCAUAUAGAUUCCAAUAUAAUAUUUACCGUCUAAUUUUAUUUCAGUUAGGUGAGUUUGGAAGGACAUAAGGGCCCUUCUGGGUUAGACCAAAAUUCCUGCAUCCAGGGGCAGAUACCCAGGCACCAGUGGGAAGUUCAAAAGGCAGUACAACCUCCAGUUUGCCCCUGGCAUCAGUUAUUCAGAAGCAUCCUACCUUUGGGGGCUAUUAUUGGGGUGGGUCUAGGAGACAUGAGCCCUUCAUCUUUUUCUGAGUGCCCCAGACUUUCCUGAAUUCAGAAGAAACUUAACCCAGAUGUUGAUUUGGAUUACUGGGAAGGAGAUUGAAAAUGACUUUCUGUAGAGAUUAUUUGGAGGGUAACUGCAGGGGAAUUGAUUUGGAGCAGAAUAUACUAAGGACUAAAUGAAUUAAAAUGUAUUUUAAUACUUUGUUGGAAUCUGCCCAGAGUGGCUGGGGAAACCCAGCCAGAUGGGCGGGGUAUAAAUAAAUAAAUAAAUAUUUAUAUAAAUGGGAUGUAUUUGGAAUAAUCCUGGGUGAAGCAUGAAUCAAAUGAAGAGUUGAUCUGAAGAGUGAUUUGAAUGGGACAUUAGUUAACAACAAUAACAAUUUAUUACCAGACCUUCAGCCUAAGGGUCCAGGGUGGGUUACAACAAUUAAAACACAAUGUUAAAAAAAGAUUUGUUUUCUAUGACACUUAGGGUGGUGUCCAAUUACGUUUUACUCAGAGUAAACCCACUGAAAUGAAUGGACUUUAGUUAUGUUUAUUCAUGGAGUUGGACUAGAUGGUCCCUCAAGGUCCCUUCCAACUCUGUGAUUCUAUUCAUUUCAAUGGCUGUACUCUGAGUAGGACUAACAUUGGGUACAAACCUUACAUUCUAAAAUGGGGUGCACCCACCCACUUGUAAAUGUUAAGGACAUUUGUGUCUAUGGGCCUAUGCCACGAACCUUUUAAGUACCUUGCUACACCUCUGGCUGCCUUUGAACACAUUUGCUGUUAUGUCAAAUAGGCUUGUUCUCUGAGAUUGUGUCUAGUUCUUUCUGCUGAAGGGCAUCUAAGCUAGUGGCAGAGCAUGACAGGAGUGAUCAGAGGGUAUUUUUCACAUACAGCUUGUGUUCUUUAUGCAGGCUAGUAGGGCUGGACAAAUGGUCAAUUUCAGAUACAGAAUCUUAGACUCAUAGAACUGGAAGGGAUUCUGAGGGUCAUCUAGUUAACUCCUGAUCUCAACAUGUGGGACCCCAUCCAAUUUGAAACCAAACCAGACCUUGCUUAGCUUUGUAAAUUUGCUAGCAGUUUUAUUGCUGCAUCAUUAGUUUCCUCUUGGUUUCUUAUAAUUAUCUUGAUAACAACCAGCCCUGCCAGUCCCCAUCACUUUUCUGAUGGUAUUUGCAUUUUUUAAAAAAUAAAAAAGCUUUCAUAUUAAAUGCAAAUAAGCUUUAAUGUCAGGCCUUCAGCUGCAAAGUCAUUCAUCUAUCUGGACAGGAGGGAGAAAAAUAAUACAAACAUAUACUCUCCAGAAUUUGCAGAUAAAAAUCAGAAUGUGCUUGUAAUACAGCAAUUAUGCUAUUCUCAUUCUAAGGGUUAGGGUUAGAGCUUUGCUCAUUAUAUAUUAUACAUCACUGAUGACACUCUUCCAUCUGCUGUAGUCUUCUCUCCUGCAAUAGCUUCUGCAGCACUUAAAAAAUAAAAUAAAGAAAGGCCUUUAUUAUAAAGUAUGCCAGAAAAACACGAAUGGUCUUACAAUCUGCUAUGAAUGGUUCACAAGGAGCUUCCAAAGUGUGUGAAAUGGCAAGCAGUUUUCUACAUGACUGUUUAAGGUUCCUGUGUGCAUUUUGACAUCUUUGUGCCUUACAGGCAAGAGGCAUCCACCAUUACCUUAAAUUCAGAUUUUAACUUAUUUAUUAACAAGAGUAUUUAUAAACCACCAACUCGUUAAAAAAAAGGAAAAAAGUAAAUAAGAUCACUGAAACACCAUCAAAUUAUACAAUCCUAAAACACAGAAUGAAUAACCAACAGUGAAUCAAAUCAAUGAUUGGAAAAUGCUUGCCAAAACAAACGUUUUCAGCAAGUGAUGAAAUAUCAGAGUUGUAGGUGCCUGUCUGAUUUCAAUUGGACCAGUGUCUUGAAAUAGUGGUGCCUCUAUGCUAAAAGCCUUAGUUCUUGUAGAAACUAAAUGAAUAUGAGAUAACUGUGGAAACGUCAGGAGGGCUUCUCCAUAUAAUCACAGUGAUUUGGCUGAUGGACAAGAAACAAGGCAUGCUUUCAGGUAACCUGGUUCUAGACCAUUUAGGGCUUUAUACACAAGGAGUAAUACCUUCAGUUUAGCUUGGUAGUGUAGUGGUGGCCAGUGCAUAGCUUUCAGUGCUGGUGUAAUAUUCUACAACUACCUAAGAUUUCCAAACCAACCACAAGGGUAGCCCCACAUACAGCAUAUUAGAGUAGUCUAGCCUAGGGGUUACCAAGGUCUGGACCUAUACACGGUGCUUUUUUUUCUUAAAAAAUGUUUAGGGAUACUCUCAUUUUCCUACUCAUAUUAAAAUACUGCCCCUCAAUGAGGUCAAACUUAGAUUCACAAAAUGUUUAGGGGUAGGCAUCCCCCCAGAAAAAAAAGUACUGGCUAAACAGCUAUACACCUGUAUAAGGAACUGAAGAUCAAGUAAUGUCAAAUCUAGCAAUCUGAACAACACCAUUUGAAAUUAUUAUUUCAUUAUUUCUUAAUAUACUCAUCACAAUCAAAAUUGAUCAACACAUUAAAAUAAGCCUGUAGCUGUAGUAGUUAAUAAACUAAGCGACUUUCAUUUCAUUAAGAAAUUGACAAUAAUAUUCAGCAAAAUCACCCAAGUGCAAAAGAAAUACAACAAUCACAAAUCAACUGGCCAAUUAGCCAAUUGAACUGACUUCAGAUAGAAUGUAUAAGUGACUCUCUUUGUAAUUAUGCUUUGAAAAAGUUGCUUUUCAUUUGCUUUUAUAUCAAAUUGCUAAAACAAUUGAUUGUACAUACCCUCGCAUUACAUCACAACAACCCAGCUAUUCAAACCAGGACUCAUAUUGAUUCCCCAUUGUUGAAGAAACCUGUCUUUCUUUGGGGAAGUACUGUAACUGAGUGGCUGUGGUCUUCCUUGAGCAGAGUCUACAAUCAGGAUAAAAAUCAGAGCAACGACCCUUUUCUGAUACACAGGAAACUGCCUUAUACUGAUUGAGGUUAUUUGCCCAUCUAGUCCGGACUUGGCAGCAAAGUGAUCUCAGUAGCAAAGUGGCAGAGUAUGUGCUUUGCAUGCAGAAGGUUCAAUCCCUGGCACCUCCAGGUAGAGCUGGGAAUGUCCUCUGUUGGAAGCCUGGCAAGCUGCUGCCAGUCCAUGUAGACAGUCCUGAGCUGGAUGGACCAAUGGUCUUGACCCAGUGAAAGGCAACUUCCUGUGUUACUAUGAAUCCUGCAAGAGAGUCCAUAUAGUGUGAUUUAGUUGAACUAAGACCUGGGUUGAGCCAUGGAGCUCACAGAGUGACUUUGAGCAUCUCAGCCUAAUGAAUGGUACAUGGUCAUUGCUAGGAUAAAAUGGGGAACCCCAUAUGCCACCUUGAGCUCAUUGGGGGGAAAGUGGGAUAGACAUGUUACAAUGUAUGCAAAUGGAAUGAUUGUCCAAAUUGAGACAAUGCAACGGCUGUCAGCAGCAUGAAUGCCAUGUUCUGGAUGUGCUGAAGACUUGGAUUUAUUAAGUGAUAAGUUCCAGAAAAUAAAAUUGUUGUUGCUGAAUAGGGACCAUUGGGGUGUAUGAUGACUCAAAGGAAUUUAAUGACUAUCCAACCGUGUGAAAAAGACACACUAGAACAAGCUUGCAAAUUGCUUCUCAUCUGGUCACCUGUUGGUUGAGCAAGAGGUUUAGAGCCAGAAAUUUCUAUGGACUUUUUUACAUGCUUUGAGAUAUGGCAUCUAAACCUUUCCAAAAUGGAAGGAAUAAGCCUAUCUCCUUUUACCUCAAGGGUGGGGAUCCUUCGGCCUUCCAUAUUUGUGGGACUCCAGCUCCCAUCAGCCCCAGGCAGCAUGGCAAAUGGUCAGGGAUGAUGGGCAUUGUAGUCCAACAAUGUCUAGAGGGCCAUGGGUUCCAGACUUUUCUUGCUGCCAUGGAUGGUAAAUGUUUGCUGGACAGGAAAUUAAAACGGUGAUGCAGGCAAAUCUCAUUCUCUUUCUGAGAGUCGAAAAGGAAGAAGACUGUUUUUGUUAUUAAUGAAAGAUGUUAACCAAAAGCAUUAAGCAAGUUCUUCUGCAAUCCUUAUAACUUCCUCCGAUCUAAAAUAUGUAGUUUGGGGAUUUGACUAAUACAGCCAAUCAAUUAGCUUGCAUUUUUAAAAGCCAGCAGACGACACCCCCCCUCCUCCAUUUGACCAGGAGGCCUUGGAAUGUCAACAGUUACGAAUGUGGAAGUUAAACGGUGUCCACAAAUAUAUUGUAAAACUGUGUAAACCAAAUGCAGCAAUAUUUUCCAAAUGAACACCUGGAAGGUGUAAAUCAAAAAUAUUGUAAACAUUUCAGAGGGGAACACAUGACAGAAACACUGGCGUGCUGUACGAUGUGGCCAAUCGUGGUAUGGAGGCCUAAAUCGAUAAAUCAGACUAUGAACCUUACACUAAUAAACACCUUCCCAAAGAGAAAGAGAGCUUCUCUACCCUCAGAACUUAAACUUGUUCUCUACUAUGGCAGACAAAGUUUAUGUGGGUAUCAUUUAAGCAACAUGUUAGAAUCCGAUUCUGAUUAAAUCUAAAAAUAGAUAAGCACAAUCCCUUUAAAAGAAUUCAUAAGAUUAUUUUCAAAAUAAUAGAUACUUUCUUUUAUAUUUUACACGAUUAACUAUUUAUUUCAGUCAUUUGCUCUGUUUCUAGGUGACUUAAAAACAGAAUACAAAUACAGAGUUAAAAACAUAGCCAUAUAUUGAUUUAUAUAGCUUAGUAACAUUGUAUAAAUGUAACAUCUUUAUUUUUAACUGUGCAUUUUUGUAAUAUUUUGUUUAUAUUGUCUGUUGUUGCUUCAGUUUUUUGUUGACAGCUAGGAGAUUUUUAAAUAAAUUAAGUGGUAUAGAAAUUUAAUAAUCAUCAAUCAAUCCCUAACACAGGGAAGCGAAUCUAUGGCCCUCCAGUUUUUUCUAAACCACAACUCCCAUCAUCCCUCACCAUUGGUCAUGAUGGUUAGGAAUGAUUGGUGUGGUAGUCCAACAACAUCUGGAGGGCCACAGGUUCCCAAUCUCUGGUAACGAAACCACAAUCUCAUGAAUUGUAUCAACAACAACAGCAGUGAAAACAUCAAUAUGGCCAUGUUAACCCAUCACUAUCCACCCAAUGCCUGGGAAAAGGGGAAGGCCUUAACAUGGAGCUGAAAAUAUGUGAAAGUCACUUCCUGGCAGGCCUUCCUAGGGACAGCAUUUCAUAGCUAGGGGAGCCACAACCAAAAAGGCCCUCUCACCUUGCUUUACAUAGCACUCCUCUUAACCUAUAACUAUGCUUGUAACUUAAAGUUUUCUGUUGUAUAAACUGGGUUCAUGUUAUCAGAUCCAAAUGAUUUAAAAUCAGCUGGCAUUUGAUGCAAGAAAAAUACAGCAUAAUAUUAAAGCCAUUGGACAACCCCAGGUGGUAGUUUGUUUUUCUGCAUUUUAUCUUGUCAAGAUUAAGCUAUACUAUGGGCAUUGAAUGUUAAAUAUUUCCUUUUUAAAAUACCUAGACUGCCAGUGAAGGUUAGUGGCAAUUUAAUAUAAUUUGAGAUGUGGUAUUUUUUGUUCCCCAAGUUCAUUAGGAUAAUAAAUAUGGAUCUGGAUUUAACAAGCCUUCAAGCUUAGGCCUGCCUGAAAGAUAAGGUGGUGUUUUGUUAACAGUGAGGAACAUUUUUAUUUCUCAAAUAAGCAGCACUUUUAAGAUGUUGAAAAAGUGUAGAAUGGGGCAACCAGGGUGAGCAGGGCAUCAGAUCACUUUCCUUAUGUGUUUGGGUUUUCUUUUGUUUGUUUGUUUGUGGGAAAGAGAUGAAUAAGAUGGGGCAUAGAGGUGUAUAAACCUAUGUGAGGUGAGAAAAUUGAAAUAAAGAAAAAAUGGCCCCUUUCUCAUCAGGCUUGAACUCUGAGUCAUCCAAAGAAAUUGAUGGGCAGAAGAGCCAGAACUGACAGAUUAAAGUAUUUCAUUACGCAAGGCAUAGUUAACUUGUGGAAUUUGCUGCCAUAUACAGUAUAUGUAAUUGUCCUGAUAGCUUUAAAAGGGAGUUAGACAUAUUCAGGGAGAAGAAGGGAACUAUCAGUGCCUAUUGAUCACAAUGGCCAUAUGAAUUCUCCACAUUCAGCAGCAAUACACUAUUGAAUACCAGCUGAGGAGAAGUUGUUGUUGUUGUUGUUGUUGUUGUUUGAAAUAUAACUAUUUUAGCCUACAGCAAGAAAACCAAUAAAGAAUUGUGCAUCGUAUAACAAAUUACAAUUAUUAUUAAUGAUAAUAUUAAUUACAAAUAUAUAAAAGAUACACAUAAAUAAUUCUGUAAAUUAUUACUAAAUCCUCUUUAAAAGACCAAUGAACUUCAGAAAAUAGACAUAAAAAGAUAUUUCUCUUUCUAAUAUUCAAGUUGUGGGUCCUGUUUUUGGCUUGUACAGCCCUGAAUGCUGCAACUAUGUGCGUGUGUUGUAAAUGUUGCAACCCAGAAAAGAUGUGAACUUCCUGCUUAAUGACAAACAACAAUACAAGCAAAUGAAAAUAAGUUGGUCCUUGCGUGACACACAGAACGAAGGAUGGAUACAAUUAGUCAUGUUUCUCGAAAGUAACAUCUCAGCAAUCGCCCACACUUCCUUGCAAAAUUAUCCCUCCCCACAACCCCCCUCCAAGAGUGGAUGCCAGAUGGAACAACAAUCCAUUCAAUGGAAGUUGUGCCAGCCCACAAAUGUCUGAAAAUCCAUGCAGGAAAAUCCAGAAUGUAGUCUAGAAGUUCUUCAGGAGUAUCAGACGAGAGAAAUCACAUAUGUGGCACUGUUAAGCAAUAGGCUACUCAUUCAAAUCUAAAACCUUAAUUUCAAUAUUUUAGUGGCUUUCUAAAAAAAAACAACAACCUGUCCUCCUUCCAAGAAACUCAAGGUAGCAUAUAUAGUUUGGUCCCUUAUUCACACAACAGCCCUGUGAGGUAGGUUAGCCUGAGAAAUGGGGCUUGAACUUGGAGGAGUCCCAGUGAAUUGUAACUGAUUGGGGAUCUGAACCAAGGUCAUCCCAUCAUUGGACCCUUCAAGAUAUCAUCUAUCUAUUGGUUUAAAAGGGAGGCAUAAAAAGUAUGUAACAAAAACAAUGGAGAGGAAACAUUUCAUCAAUUACAAUACCAAUCAAUAAAAUCCUGCAGAAUACAUUAAGUAACAUUAGUUUUUGCUCCCAAGAUUAUCCCAGAAUUAUCAACCUCAGUUGAACAAGCGUAGAUAGAGAUGUAAAAUCAUUUUCCUCUCUAGAAACAUAGAAGAUAAAAGUAUACCAUAUGUCUUGAAAUUAAUCAGAUCCAGAAACUUUUUGCAAUGCUUUAAUUUUUUGUGUCAACUUCUCUGUCAACGCUGUAUUCUAAAAUUUAUCAUCCCAUUUCUGGAAGAGGUUAAGAAAGGGAGAUUUCCCAUUUCUUGCCAUGACAAGUCUUGGAACAACAAGAAGAAAUGUUGUAAGUUCUUUAUGCAAUACAUUUUAGGUUGUUCACAAAAAAUAAGUAAAAGGUCCAUCAAAGUCAUUUUGAUCUUGCAUUCCUGAUGAUUUGGGCACAGGAUGCAAUGAGGUGGUCAUACGUAAUCUCACUUGUAAUACUAUUUGCACCUGCAAAAGUUUCAGGGUAGACAUACAGCUUUGUUUCCAAUCAGUGCAUAUCCUGUCACCUCCUGCUGAAAUCUAGUAACUUUUCAUACCACAAAUGUUGUUGGGUUUGUUUGUUGUCUUGCUUUUGUUGCACUGUAGUAUCUCUGGAUAGCGAUAAUGUGGUAUUACAUUGAGGAAGCAUUGUUGGACAACUAAUAAAGCAGUAUGAAUCCAUCACAAAUGUCAAGAACAUGUUUCAUAAUACACCUGCAAUAAAACACCAGUUUGGAAGGGCACCUAGUCCAACACAAAAGGGUCCAUGUAUAGCUGUGGGAAAGUGGAGGAGGAAGUUGUGAAUCACCAAAACUCAUUGAAAGCAAUAGAAUCCUAGACUCAGUCAAUUUCAGUGCUCUCAGUUUAUUCCCCCCCAACCUUAAUUAAUUAAUUACAUAAAAAUUUUACACUGCUUGAUUGUAAAAAUACUCAAAGCAGUUUACAAAAAAGAUAGAACAAGAAAGUCAAGAAAAAUCCAUAACCAUUCUUUAAAACAUACAAAAGUUAAGAUACUAAAACAGAUUACCUCAACUUUUUAAGCAUCUGAGUAGGCUUGUCUGAACAAGAUUGCUUUAAAGCAGGCACUGAAAAUUUCAGUUCUCUAUGUUUCUGCAGCAAUUUGCGUUCUAUUGAAAUAUUCUCAUGAAAAUUCACCUUCAUUUUAGUGCAGAUUACAAAAUUUGAGUAAGUGAGAAUUCUGAAGGACGGCUAUGUUUAGUUCUCACAGAUUUGUCUUUAAUUGUGAACUGACUCAAAAUCCUCCCCCAUCCCUACUCGUUGCAUUCUCCUGUGCAACAAAUGUCCCCCUAGUGCAAAACAUUACACCAGUGGAACAGGCAUGCCCCUAAGUCACUUUACUUAGAGUUACACUGGAUUCAACCCACUAAUAGUAACUAGGAAGGGCUGUCUCCAUUGCCCCCUGAGCCUUAUUCUAGGGCAUGGGUAGGCAAACUAAGGCCCAGGGGCUGGAUCCAGCCCAAUCGCCUUCUAAGUCAGGCCUGUGGAUAGUCCAGGAAUCAGCGUGUUUUUACAUGAGUUGAAUGUGUCCUUUUAUUUAAAAUGCAUCUCUGGGUUAUUUGUGGGGCACAGGAAUUCAUUCAUUUCCCCCCUUCAAAAUAUAGUCUGCCCCCCCAAGGUCUGAGGGACAGUGGACCGGCCCCCUGCUGAAAAAGUUUGCUGACCCCUAUUCUAGGGAUUGCGUGCAAUUUUCAAUUUCUGUGUCAGACUUCUUGAGGAUGAUGUUUCUCAAAUUACUAAUUCCUCUAAUUGUACAUCUGAGUGAAAGACAGUCAUUGCUUUCCUGAGAAAUUACAUUCUUAAUACCAUUACUGAAAACAUUGCGGUAAACUAACUCAUAUCCGCUUCCAGUGAUGCAGUUUUACACUAUAACGUAAAUCAGGAUGAAGAUGGACCGAAAAGUGUUUGCCUCUGUCUUGUUUAUCUGAUGAGAGUCGCUUGUUCCACGCAUUUGGGAAAGGAGGGGAAGCUCUUGCAAGACAGAAGGAGGAGUGCUGGGUGUUAAAUGUAGCUUUUGCCAGGGCCUUCAGUUUUGGAUCUGGGUUUGUUUGCUUGCUUCCUGUAAAUCCCUCCCAAAGAGCAGAAGUGACUGAAUAAAUGUUGAGAAUAUAGUACUGAAAGAGUAUGCUCUUAAAAAUAGUCUUCCGGAAAGACUUUGGUCCUUUCCACACAUGAGAUUAAAAGUGCCUUUCUGCCUCUCUCUAGGGUGACCACACACAUCACUGAUGAAAAGAAGGAAAGUCUUCCCCCAGAAGAAGACAAAAGGGGAGGCCAAUUUGCCUGGAAUUUGCAUAUGUUAAUUUAUAGGCCUAGAUGGCCAUUACUACGAUUCAAACAGAAAUAGAAUACAUCUCAUCAUUGUGGUAAAGAUUGUGACCAGGUGCUUGAUGUUCGGCUUAGCUUGAUGCCCCUGUGCUACUUCAAGGCUCUCCCUUCUUAUGGUGCUUUGUCUUUCAACUGGACUUGGGCCAGACACCCCUCCAAAUAGAGGGCUCCUUCAUAUAAAGGACUGUCCUCUGUCAAGCAGGACUCAUGGCCAGCCUACCUGUCUCAUGCACCUUCAUUUGUGUAUAUCCUCUGUGGAUGUAAUGUGGGAGAAGUAGCAGAGGCUUCCAAAAUUCUCUACUUCCAAAUCUCUCCCUGUGUUUUGGAGCUUGGAAAUUCCUGCGUGUGAAGGAAUUGGACUGUUUAAAAAGAAAUCAAAAUCUUGUACUGUAUAUAGUUUGGUUUGGGGAUUAUAGGGUUAAUCUGCUUCUGAGAGACAACCUAGCUGGCAGGUAAAGUCAGGAGGUGUUAAAAAAUAAUGAAGUGAAGUGUGGAAUAUGGACAAGUUGGGUUUGCAGAGGGGAUUAAGGUAAAAGUGUAUUACUUUGAUGCUUGGGUUGUUUGUGGAUUGUGACAUAGCAAAGAACAGUGGCUCAAAGAUAUAGAUAAGGGGCAACUUACAGAGACAAGUGAUGGGAGGGUCUCAGAAGGAACUGAAGAGCACAAGCAGGCGCUGGAGGCUAGAGGGAGAGAGAGCUUCUAACUGCCGUACCAUCCUAAGAGCUCUAAUUGAAAGAAAUUUGCUUAACAGAAUUUUAGCCACUAGGAAACAGUUUGGAUAAGACUAACUGGAUGCAUUUAUCCUGAUUUAUUUCCAUUACCC
rnacentral:lncRNA from 1 species